rnacentral:rRNA from 2 species
CAGCCGCCGCGGUAAAACCAGCACCUCAAGUGGUCAGGAUGAUUAUUGGGCCUAAAGCAUCCGUAGCCGGCUCUGUAAGUUUUCGGUUAAAUCUGUACGCUCAACGUACAGGCUGCCGGGAAUACUGCAGAGCUAGGGAGUGGGGGAGGUAGACGGUACUCGGUAGGAAGGGGUAAAAUCCUUUGAUCUAUUGAUGACCACCUGUGGCGAAGGCGGUCUACCAGAACACGUCCGACGGUGAGGGAUGAAAGCUGGGGGAGCAAACCGGAUUAGAUACCCGGGUAGUCCCAGCUGUAAACUAUGCAGACUCAGUGAUGCAUUGGCUUGUGGCCAAUGCAGUGCUGCAGGGAAGCCGUUAAGUUUGCCGCCUGGGAAGUACGUACGCAAGUAUGAAACUUAAAGGAAUUGGCGGGGGAGCAC